GCUCUCUCUCGCUCUCUCACCUGGAAGCAGCUCUAGAGGAUGAUGGGGUUGAGACAUGCAUGGGUGGUGAUGGUGGUGAUGGUGAUGGUGGAGGGGCAGGGACACCAGGCCACCCAACUCCACCAGGGCAACCAACACCAGCAAGCACCCUACCAGCCAAUCCACCAGGCACCCCAUCAACCAGCCCGCCCGAACACAUUCCUCCAGGGCUUCCAGGCAGGGGGGCAUCUACCAGGCGGCGCGGCGUACCCUCAACAACCACCAAGCAUUGAGAUUCUACCAGAUGGGCGAAGGGUGAUUCAACCAGCUAGCUUGGAGGUUCCCCAGGGGCCACCAGGGGCUCAACCAAUUAGCUACGAGAUCCUACCCGGUGGUCAACGAGUUCCCCAGCCGAUCAGCAUUGAGGUUCACCCGGGUGGUCACUUCCCCCAGCAAGGAGGGAAUUACGGACAGGGCCAAGGAUUUCACCCACCCGGUAAUGCCCCAGGUGCCUACCCCGGGGCCCAAGUGCACUCCCAGCCAGCCCCAGUCCCACACCACGCCGCUCCCCCAGCCCAUAAUGUAUACCCCGGUGCCCCCUCCCCUGGGUUUGCUGGGGGUCAAGGGGGUCAGGGUGGGCAUGGGGGGCAGCAGGGGGGGCAACAGGGGGGGCAGGGUUAUACUGGGGUGUAAGAUUUGAGGAUUUUUUUUUCUUGUUAUGAAAUUGUAUAUCUUUUAUUUCUUGCUCUUUUCCUUUCUUUCUUUCUUUCUUUCUUUCUUUCUUUUCUUUCUUUCUUUCUUUCUUUCUUUCUUUCUUCUCAAGGCAAUUUCAACUUACACACACACACACACACACACACACACAUGUAGUCCUGUGUGUGUGCGUGUGUACGUGUCUGUGUGCGUGCGUGUGUGUGUACGUGUAAUUCUAUGUACGUAAUUCUCAUGUACGUUUUAAUAAAGAAGGAAAUUAA